rnacentral:tRNA from 1 species
AGCCCUUUAGUGUAACUGGUAACACAGGAGACUUUGAAUCUCUAUUUGUGGGUUCGAACCCCACGGGGGCUG